UUCUCCGGAAGGCGAAUAUGACGUCGGGCAGUGGAGGCAUCGAUAUGCUCUCCGUGUACAACGACGAGGAAGAGGUAGAGGAGCGGAAGGUGGUCGUGGCAGUGGGUUUGGUGGAUUCCGGCGCUGACGAUGCCAAUGGAGGUGACGGGGAUACCCCGCCCAACCCAGCAUUCGAGGCUAAAGUCUCGACCCUACUCGAUCGCCAUGAUGGCAUGGAUUGCGAAACCCUAAGGAGCCCCAUCGCCCGGAGCCCUACGCCCCCGCCGCUGCUCCCCUCACAGUUGCAGUCUUCACCCUUCCCCGCCAUCUCCCCUUCUCCUCCUCUGCGGCAUCCGUCUUCUUCUCUUUCGGAGCCUGUGGGCCUUCAGAGGAUGAGGAUGUUCGUCGAGGGAGAGAUUUUAAGCAACGGUCGUUUCAUGCUCAGAGAGGUUCAAGUAGCCGAUGUGGUUCAAAAAGAGCCCUGAAAUUGGUCAACGCCUGUGGUGCUAAGCUGUUCCUUGGCAGCUGAACAACUACUGUGAUAAAUGGGUCCAGUGUUCUGGGUUCCAGCGCACAGGGAAACAUAUGCAAUAAACAAAAAAGAGAAGAGAAGCAAGAGAAAAAGGCCGACAAAAGAUCACGAUGGGAUUAAAGGUUUUGGAGACCAUUAAAAGGCUGGAUCGGGAUCGGGUUCGCUAACAAGCAAUCGGUGGAUCCGAUAAGAGUUCUGCUUCAGACUUUGGAUCUGGUUCCGGUAUUUGUAACCCGACCCAUAUCGUCGCAGUUGUUGUGAUGCGGCUUGCUGAUAUCUACUCCACAAGGUAAAAUACUUGUCAUUAUGUC